GUACCAUGCAGCCACUGGCUCCAAAGGGACCUUCUACCAGGGAAUUUGAUUACUUGGAUAGAGCCCUUCUGUCGACCACUGACCUCAGGGCUAGCUCCCCAAAACGUCGCCUUCUCUACGCUCGUUUCUGCAAAGUAGCAACAGAACAACUUCCAGUAAAAGAAGGCACUGAGGUUUAAGUGCUACGUGGGAGCAGUUGCCGAUUUUUGCAAUGGGAGGCUGCAUAGAUUCAAGGUGGAACCAUCUAGUUGCAGGAAAACAAGCUCAGGGCUCCUGUUGAUUCUAUAUUAUGGACUUCCUUGAGUGCUCCAGGAGCUUGUCAUUCCAGAGACAGAGCAGCCCAGAAGUCCUGGGAUUUACACCUCUAGUAGAAACCCUCAACCAGAGAAGGAUGGAAGUCAAUGGGCAGAGUGCUCGGGAGACCUUUACCUGUUUUACCUGAUUACAUCCUCUGAGGUGGGUUGGGAAGCUCCAUUCUGUAUCACCCUCGCUCAAGGACCUGGACUGAAGGAUUUCUGCUUUCAAGAAGAAAAAAAAAAAUAGAAGACAUGUUUACUAAUACACUGGUAAUUAUUUCUAUUCAUAUUUUAUUGGCCAAAGCGAGUCAUAUGGGUAUACAACAUAAAAUGAGGUGCAGAAUUUCAAUCCUAUCAUUUGCUUGGAAGGUGGAGAGUCAUAUUUGGAGAACAUGAGUUCUAUAAUUGUUGGAUGUAACAGUCUAUACAUGUCCACUAAGUCAAGUUUGCUAAUCGUGUUUAAAUAAUCUAUAUCCUUACUCAUGUAUCUGUUCACUUCUUGCAGUUUUGUCAAUCUUAGUUUUAUAUUUUUGAAGCUAUAUUAUGUGUACAAGUUUUAUAAUCAUUGUACUUUCUCAUGAGUUAAACUUUUUAUCAUUAUGAUAAUGCUUUUUGCCUUAAAGUCUACUUUGUCUAAUAUUAAUAUAGAUAACAUUAAUUUUUGUUAAUAUUUAUAUUUUUCCACUUUUUAAUUUCAACAUUAUAAUACAAAUGUUUUAGGUAUGUUUCUUAUAAACAGUAUGCAGAUUGUUAUCCAAUUCAAUCUUUGAUUUUUAAUUGAACUAUUUAAUUUAUUUACAUUUAAUGUAAUUACUGAUAUAUUUGAAUUUAAAUAUACCGUCUUCUUAAGUGUUUUCAAUUGUCUCACAUGCUCUCUGUUCUCUUUAUCCUCACUUUUUGCCUGCUUUUGGAAAAUAUUGUUUUUGCCUCCAUUGUUUUGGAAGUUACAUAUCUUUUUAGUAGUCUUUUAGAGUUUAUCCUAUAGAUCACAGUAUGGGUCUCUGAGUUAGCAAAGGCUAAUAAUGUUAAUUGGCACUUUCAUUUUCUUCCAUAAUAGUACAAGGACCUUAGAACGUUUCAAUUCAUUUACUUCCUCUCCUGAUUUGUAUGCACUUUUAAUAUUUUUAAUUUUUUAAAUCUUCAGCACUGUGUUACAUUGUUUCAUACGGUAUAAUUCAUUUAGACUUCCUCAAAUGGACCUUCGUGCUGGACCUCAUUUCUUUCUGCAUCUAUAUAACCUAUCAUCCUUAAUCAUCUUCCUUCUGCUUAAAGAACAUCCUUUAGUAUUUGAUGCUGGUAAAGAAUCCUGAAAAUGUCUUAAUUUCACUUUUAUUAUUGAAGGCUAUUUUCACUGGACAUAGAAUUCUAAUGUUGACAGUUAUUUUAUUUCAGCACUUGAAAGACAUUUAAAUUCCACUAAUUUCUAGUUUCCAUUGUUUCUAUCAAGAGGUAAGCUAACAGUCUAUUACAUUUUUUCAAGUAAUGACAGCUGCUUGUAAUUUUUUUUUCCCUUUGUCUUUGGUUUUCAUCUGUCUUAUUGUGAUGUACCUAGGUGUGGCUUUUAAAAAUUUCUCCUGCUUGCAGCUCCCAGGGCUUCUGAGAUUUGUGGCUUGUUGUCUUUAAUCAAUUUUGGGAAUUUUUCAACUAUUUUCUCUUCAAAUAUUGAUGCUGCACCAUUCUCUUUCUCUUCUCCUUCUGAAAUUUUAAUUCUCAUUUUAUCUCCAUAUCUCUUACUCUCUGUAGCAUUGCUAUCCUUUUGUCUCUCCAUGUUUCGUCAUGAUGUUGUCUUCUAACCUACUUUCCAGUUCAUCAAUUUUCCCUACAGCUGUGUAUAAUUUUUUGUUAAACCAAGUAAAGAGUAUCCACUGAGCUCUUUGCUUUUGUUAGUAUAUAUUUUAAAUUCUAAAUUGUUCACUGGUUAUUUUUUACAACUUUUUCAUCCUUUUUUAAAGUUUUCAGUUCUCUGCCAAAUUUGUUGAUACUGUCUUUUAUCUCCGUAUGUGUAGUAAACAUAAUUAAUUUAAAGUCCGUAUCUGAUAAAUCCAUUAACUGGAGUUCUGUGGUAUUGUUUCUAUUGUAGUUGUUUCUACUGGAUCUCAUGUUUUCUUAUUUCUUUAUGGGCCUGGUUAUUCUCUUGUGUGCUAAAAUUGUAUAUGAAAAAUUGUUGGUUGAAGUAAAGUAAAACUUAUUGUGUUAUAUUCCUCCUGAGAGUACAGUCAUCCCUCAGUAUCCACAGCAGGAUUGGUUCCAGGACCUACUGCAGAUACCAAAAUCCAUGCAGAUUUCAUUUCCACAAUCAACCCUGUGGAAUCCAUGGAUAUAAAACGUCGACCCUCCAUAUAUAAGUGAGUUUGGCAUCCUGCAACUACUGUCUUUUAUAUUUAUGUUUGGUUGCAGAUGCAGAAUUCACCAAAGCCUAAUCCAGAGCAAGGCCCUAACUCUUCAAUUCUAUGAAGGCUAAGAGAGCUGAGGAAGCUGUAGAAGAAAAACUGCAAGCUAGCAGGGGUUGGUUUAUGAAGUUUAAGGAAAUAAACCAUUCCGUAACAUAAAAGUGUAAGAUAAAGCAGCAAGUGCUGAUGUAGAAGCUGCAGCAAAUUAUUCAGAAGAUCUAGCUGAGAUCAUGGAUGGCGGUGGUUACACUAAACAACAGAGUUCCAGGGUAGACAAACAGCCUUCUAUUGGAAUAAGAUGCCAUCUAGGACUUUCAUAGCUAGAGAAGAGUGGGCUGACUAUAUUUAUUUUAAAAAUCCAUGUAUAGGCUGGGCGCAGUGGCUCACGCCUGUAAUCCCAGCAGCACUUUAGGAGGCUGAGGCAGGUGGGUCACCUGAGGUCAGGAGUUUGAGACCAGCCUGGCCAACAUGGUGAAACCCUGUCUCUACUAAAACUAAAAAAAUUAGCUGGCAUGGUGGCAGGCACCUGUAAUCCCAGCUACUCAGGAGGCUGAGGCAGGAGAAUUGCUUGAACCUGGGAGGCGGAGGUUGUAGUAAGCCGAGAUCGCGCCAUUGCACUCCAGCCUGGAUGACAAGAGCGAAAUUCUGUCCAAAAAAAAAAAAAAAAUCCAUGUAUAAAUGAGCCAUACAGUUCAAACCCAUGUUGUUCAAGGGUCAACUGUAUUUAUAUUUGCUUUUGCAAGAUACCUGGGGAUGUGAGGACCUGGGAUCACCUUUAUCCAAUUUGAAGAAUUAAGCUAAUUGGAUCUCAGCUGAGGCCCCACAAAAUCUCAUCUACUUCCAUCCAAGUCAUCCUGUCUUUUCUCUUUUUUAAAUUUUUUUGGAGGUGGGGUCUCACUGUGCUGCCCAGGCUGGACAACAUAGGUCCAGUGGCACAAACAUAGGUCACUGCAGCCUUGCACUCUUGGGCUGAAGGGAUCUUCCCAAGUAGCUGGGGCUACAAGCACAUGCCACCAUGCUACCAUGCUGCGCUAAUUUUUUCAUUCAGUCUUAAGAUGAAGACUUUCAGGGUCCUAGCCUGCUAUGGGGAGUUAUAUGUCUACCCUCUCCUUUGGUGAGCACCGGAUUCCAACUUGUGUUUAUGUGGCCACACAAAGCUGCCCAGGUGCUGCUUAGUCUCUUCAGUUCUUUUUUUUUUUUUGAGAGGGAGUCUCACUCUGCACUGUGUCGCCCGUGCUGGAGUGCAGUGGCAUGAUCUCGGCUCACUGCAACGUCUGCCUCAUAGGUUCAAGCUCCUCCGCCUCCUGGGAGCCUGGGUGAUUCUCCUGCCUCAGCCUCCCGAGUAGCUGAGAUUAUAGGCACCCGCCACCACACCCAGCUAAUUUUUCUUUUGUAUUUUAAUAGAGAUGGGGUUUCACCAUGUUGGUCAGGCUGGUCUCAAACCCUAACCUCAAAUGAUCCACCUGCCUUGGCCUCCCAAUGUGCUGGGAUUACAGGUGUGAGCCACCACACCCGGCCAUCUCUCCAGUUCUUUGUUGUCGUUUCCAGAAGCAGCAAAUGUCCCAAGGGGAAAAGAGGCCCAGUUAUUGGGCUUGCCUCCUUGAAUACCCAUCUUUCUCCAGCUCUUCAUUGGUGAUUCUUCAUUAUCUUUUUAAGUCUGAUGUUUUCAAGCACAUUUUAUUUUAAUUUUUUCCCACUUUUCUAAUUGUUCUCAGCAGGACAGUAGGUCUGAAUUUAGUCUGCUAUUACCAGAUGGUAGGAAAUAGACAGGUAUGCUUCAUUUUGUCAUAGUUUGCUUUACUACACUGCAGAUAUUAUAUUUUUUACAAAUUGGAGGUUCGUGGUAACCCUGCAUUGAAGAAGCCUUUAGGUGCCAUUUUUCCAACAGCAUGUGCUCACUUUUUGUUUCUGGGUCAUAUUUUGAUAAUUCUCAUAAUAUCUCAGACUUUUUCAUUAUUAUUAUAUUUGUUAUGGUAAUCUAUGAUCAGUGAUCUUUGAGAUUACUCUUGUAAUCAUUUUGGGGUGCCAUAAACUGUGCUCAUAUAAGAUGGUGAAGUUCAUUGAUAAAUGUUGUGUGUUCUGACUUCUCCACCAAUCAGCCAUUUCCCAUCUUUUACAUUCUUUUCAGUCCUCCUUAUUCCCUGAGACACAACAAUAUUGAAAUUAGACUAAUCAAUAACCCUACAAUGUCCUCUAAGUGUUCAAGUGAAAGCAAGGGUGGCACAUCCCACACUUUAAAUCGAAAGCUAAAAAUGAUUAAGCUCAGUGAGGAAUGCAUGAGGAAAAGCCAAGAGAGGCCAAAAUAGAGGGCUUUUGUGCCAAACAGGUAGCCAAGUUGUGAAUGGAAAGGAAAAGUUCUUGAAGGAAAUUAAAAGCACUACUCCAGUGAACACACAAAUGAUAAGAGAGUAAAACAGCCUUAUUGCUGAUAUGGAGAAAGUUUGAGUGGUCUGGAUAGAAGAUCAAACCAGCAACAACAUUCCUUUAAGUUAAAGCCUAAUCCAGAGCAAGGCCCUAACUCGCUUCAAUUCAAUGAAGGCUGAGAGAGGUAAGGAAGCUACAGAAGAAAAAUUAGAAGCUAGCAGAGGUUGGUUCAUGAAAUUUAAGGACAUAAACCAUUUCCACAACAUAAAGUGCAAGGUGAAGCAGCAAGCGCUCAUGUAGAAGCUGCAGCAAGUUAUCCAGAAAAUCUAGCUAAGAUUAUGGAUGGUGGUGGCUACACUAAACAAUAGAAUUUCAAUGUAGACAAAACAUCUAUCAGAAUAAGAUGCCAUCUAAGACUUUCAUAGCUAAAGAGGAGAAAGCAAUGCCUGGCUUCAACGCUUCAAGGGACAGGCUGACUGUCUUAUUAGGGGCUAAUGCAACUGGUGGCUUUAAGCUGAAGCCAAUUGCUCAUUUUCCAUACAGAAAAUCUUUGGACCCUUACAAAUUAUGCUAAACCCAGGCCAGACACAGUGGCUCAUGCCUGUAAUUCUAGCACUUUGGGAGGUCGAGGCAGGCAGAUCACUUGAGCUCAGGAGUUCGAGACUGGCCUGGGCAACAGGGUGAAACCCCAUCUCUACAAAAAAAUACAAAAACUAGCCAGGUGUGGUGAAGUGUGCCUGCAGUCCCAGCUACUCAGGAGGGUGAGGCAGGAGAAUUUCUUGAGCCUGGAGGCUGAGGUUGCCGUGAGUCAAGAUCACGCCAUUGCACUCCAGCCUGGGUGACAGGAGUGAAACCCUGUCUCAAAACAAAGAAUUGUGCUAAAUCUAUUCUGCCUGUGCUCUAUAAAUGAAAUAACAAAGCCUGAAUGACAGCACAUCUGUUUAUGGCAUGUUUACUGAAUAUUUUAAGCCUACCGUUGAGACUUACUCCUCCAGGGAAAAAAAGGGAUUCCUUUCAAAAUAUUACUUCUUGUUGGCAAAUGCAUCUAGUAACUCAAAAGCUCUGACAGAGAUGUACAAGGAGAGUAAUAUUUUCAUGCUUUUAACACAACAUCCAUUCUGCAGUCCAUGGAUCAAGAAGUCAUUUCAACUUUCAAGUCCUAUUACUUAAGAAAUGCAUUUUUUAAGGCUAUAGUUGUCAUAGAUAGUGAUUUCUCUGAUGGAUCUGGGCAAAAUCAAUUGAAAACCCUCUGCAAAGAAUUUACCAUUUUAGAUGCCCUUAAGUACAUUCACGAUUCAUGGGAGGAGGUCAGAAUAUCAACAUUAGCAGGAGUUUGGAAGAAGUUGAUUCUAACCCUCACGGAUGACUUAGAGGAGUUCAAGACUUCACUAGAGGAAGUCACUGCGGAGGUGCUGGAAACAGAAAACUAGAAUUAGAAGUGGAGCCUGAAAAUGUGCCUGAAUUGCUUCAAUCUUGUAACGGUUAAUACUGAGUGUUCACUUGAUUGGAUUGAAGGAUGCAAAGUAUUGUUCCUGGGUGUGUCUGUGUGAGCUUCCCUAGUUUUGAGGUUUUGGGACUUGGACUGGUUUCCUUGCUCCUCAGGUUGCAGAUGGCCUAUUGUGGCACUUCGCCUUGUGAUCAUGUGAGUCAGUACUCCUUAAUAAACUCCCGUUCAUUUAUACAUCUAUCCUAUAAGUUCUGCCUCUCUAGAGAACCCUAAUACAAAUUUCAUGAUAAAACUUGAACGAAAGAGGAGCUGCUUCUUAUGGAUGAGCAAAGAAAGUGAUUUCUUGAGAUGGACUCUACUCCUAGUAGAGAUGCUGUGAACAUUGUUGAAAUGACAAUAAAGGAUUUAGAAUAUUCCGUAAACUUAGUUAAUACAGAAGCAGCAGCAUUUGAGAGGACUGACUCCACUUUUGAAAGAAGUUCUACUGUUAUUAAAUGCUACCAAAUAUGGUACAGAGAAAUAUUUUGUGAAAGGAAGAGUCCAUUGACAUGGCAAGCUUCAUUACUGUCAUAUUUUAAUAACUUGCCACAGCUACCUCAAACUUCAGCAACCACCAGUCUGAUCAGUCAGUAACCAUCAAUAUCGAGGCAAGACCUUCCACCAGGAAAAAGAUUAUAACUCACUGAAGGCUCAGACGAUCAUUACUAUUUUUUUAGCAGCAAAGUAUUUUUAAUUGAGGUAUGUACAUUUUUAGACAUAAUGCUCUUGCACACUUACUAGACUACAGCAUACUGUCAACAUAACUUUUAUAGGCACUGGGAACCAAAAAUUUGUAUGAUUCACUUUGUUGCAAUACUUGCCUUACUGCGGCAGUCUGGAACCAAACCCACAAUAUCUCCAAGGUCCACCUGCAAAUGCAGGCAGUGGGCCAGGUAUACAUGCAUACAUAUGCCUUAUGUGAGGGGUGGGCACUGAGGUUAACUAGAAAGCAUGAGCCUAUUUUUGCCUUGUGGUAAUAAGGGCCUCAUAUUGCCAAAUUUUUCCAUUUUUUUCAAAAGAAGUAGGAAAGGAAAUGCAGGCUUUUAAAAUGUGAAAUCCCAAUUUUCAAUUGUUGGUUCAAAAAAAACUUAAAUCUCAACUAGCCAAAUAAAAUGCAUCUGGGGUCCACACCCAGCUACCCUAUAGGAUACUAAUUUAAAAUAUCUGGACUAUAGUCUAUAUUGAUGAGAGAAGUGGGGUGAAACUUGGCAUUCCCUUGCCAUUAACUUCUAGCCUCCCAGUAGUCCAGGCUGCCUUGAAUAAACACCAGACCAUCAUACAAAACAGAGUUUUUAUCUUAUUUAUUUAUUUAUGAGUUGGGUGUCUUGCUGCAUUACUCAGGAUGGAGUGCAGUGGCACAAUCAUAGUUCACUGAGGCCACGAACUGCUGUGCUCAAGUGAUCCUCUCACCUCAGCCUCCUGAGUAGCUGGGACUACAGGUGUAUGCCACCACAUAAGGCUAAUUUUAAUUUGUUUUUGAGAGACAGAGUCUUGCUAUGUUGCCCAGGCUGGUCUUAAACUCCUGGCCUCAAGCAAUCUUUCCACCUUGGCCUCUGAAAGUACUAGGAUUAUAGAAGUGAGCCGCUAUGCUUGACCAAAACACAGUUUUUAAAUCAAUUUAUGUCUUUACUGAAAUCUCUUAAAGAUGCCAAAGGGUGGGGUUUGGGUUCCAUUCAUAACACCAACAUUUCUGAAGAAUCCUCUUCUCUUGUCUCUUUCUCAAGUCCUCCUCAUGACAUCUGUGUUAGUCCGUUCUCACACUGCUAUGAAGGACUGCCUGAGACUGGGUAAUUUAUAAAAGAAAGAGGUUUUAAUUGACUCACAGUUCCACAGGGGUGGGAAGGCCUCAGGCGGAAGGGGAAGCAACCACAUCCUUCUUCACAUAGCGGCAGGAAGGAGAAGUGCCAAGCAAAGGGGAAAAGCCUUUCAUAAACCCAUCAGGUCUCAUGAGAACUCAAGAAGAGCAUGGGGAUAUGUGGAGGAAAAGUUAAAUCUUAAAUUUGAACUCAAUUGAAUGUGGACACAAACAAUGGUCACCAAGUCCCAGAACAGGUUGCAUGAGCCCCUUGAGGCGUUCAUCCAGACGGUUUUGGAGAAAUCUGUUCCUGUAUGUUAGUUAUUGAAAAACAACAAACAAUCAUAAAAACAAGUUGACCUUUUUGUGUUCCUUGAGUCCAGUCAUGAAGGGCCCUCGUGACUGGGCCUCAUGCCAAAUAAGUCGUUACAAAAAGAACUAGGGUCCCAUACCACGCCAAAGCUUCAUGAGACCUCUCCUCAUCUGUGCAUGGAUGAGCGGUCAACUCUGGAGCCCAGGCUGUUGCUUCCCUGUCUGGUGAUGAAUCCUCUAUAGUCUGGUAAGUGUAGUGGCCGACUCUGGAGCCCAGGCUGUUGCUUCUGGUCUGGUGAUGAAUCCUCCAUCGUCUGGUGAGUGUGUGUGUAUAUAUAUAUAGUCUAUAUUGAUGGGAGAAGUGGGGUGAAAGUUGGCAUGCCCUUGCCAUUAACUUCUAGCCUCCCAGUAGUCCAGGCUAUAUAUAUAUAUCUUCUCCCUUUUCCCCUUCCCAUUGCAAUUUGCUUGUAUCAUUUGCUUAUUAUAUCUGCAUUGCCAUUUACAUGGGAUAAAGGUUGUUUACCCUUGAAGGUAUUGCAUGUGUGUCUUUUCUUUUCCCUUUGUGCAUCUCCCUCAUAGAAAAGAGUAACCGCCCCCAUGAUUCAAUUGCCUACCACUGGGUCCCUCCCACAACACGUGGGGAUUAUAGGAACUACAAUUCAAGAUGAGAUUUGGGUGGGGACACAGCCAAACCAUAUCAACAGCCCAGCAGCUACUUCAGUCCUCCUUAAUUUAUCUCUUGAAUUCUCCCAAACCCAGCUCAUCCCUGGCUUGUUUCUCUUAUUCUUUCUCUCGCCUUCUGAUCCAUUCUGCUUUCGUUAGUAUGUAACUCCCUGCCUUCUCUUAGGUAGACCCAUCAACCCAUCCUACCCAUGGUACUGCACAAUUCAGAAUCCUUUCCCAAAUUUUCCCUUAUUAUGCACAAGAAAUACUCCAGGGCCAGGUGCAAUGGCUCACGCCUGUAAUCCCAGAACUUUGGAAGGCUGAGGCAGGAGGAUCGCUUGAGCCCAAGAGUUCAAGGCUGUAGUUAGUGAUGUUGGUGCCACUGCACUCCAGCCUAGGCAACACAACAAGACACUAUCUCAAUUAAAAGAAAAAAAAAGAAAAAAGAAAAAGAAAUACUCCAGAACUUGGCUAGUGAAGACUAAUUCCUCCUUCACAGGAAGGAAGUGGGGGCAGGGGAAAAUGAUGCUGUAAAUACUCUAAAAUAUGUAUUUUUUCCUGUCCCAUCAGCUAUGCCAUCUGGGAUGGGGUGACGCCUGGAUGAGAUGUCAUUUUAAAGGACAUUUCUGGGACAUGCUGGCAUCAAGCUAUGAAAAGAAAACAUUUGGAAGAUCACUGAUUCCUUCAUGGAGAGGCUGGCUUGGGAAUAGAUGACGUGUCAAAGAUUGACAUCAACCUUGAGUGCUUAUUUGUGGACUUGAGAUACAGAUAAAAAAAAAAAAAAAAAAACCUCCCUAGAGUGAGGGCUACUUGGGAUACAUGCUAUAUCCCAAGGAGUUCUCAGUUUGAGGUCAGCCCCAGCUCUACAACUCACCAGGAGAGUGCGCGAGGAUGAGGGAGAGACAGCCUGCUCUGGUUCUCUUCAAGGUGACAAUGACACCUGUUGACAGAUGAGAAUUCCAGCCAGGAAUACAGAUUUAGGAAUCAUGUUUCUCACUCUCAUGAUGACAUAGAAGAGAUGCGUCUGAAUCUUUCUGCCAGUGUGUUAAAGUUAUUCUGAUAUUGACUGUAGUUCUGAGCUUUGUCUCUAUCCCACCAAACCACUAACUUCUGGAAAUUACUUGUAGACCAAGAUGGGAGGACUCCGUGUGUGGCUCCAUAUGAAUGACUUAUCGUGCCUGUCCAGAGUCAGGGAAAGGAGAAACAAUCUUAUUUGAGAAGGGAGGAUAUCACUGCAGUGGUUGUGAAAUCGUGUUUGGAAGCUAGAUUGCUCUAGACCACUAAGCUCUCUUCAUGUGACAAAGAAACUUCCUAAAAUACUAAAAGCUAAAGGAGAUUGUUAUCUAAGCUUGAGAUGGAAGGUUGCCAGCGGAAACUUGGAGAAUCCUGAAUUGAGCCUGUGUUCCCAGUUCCUAGAAACCCUCAAGGUUAUUGGUUUCCUCCUCGCUUAAUAGACCAGUGGAAGAAAUCUACCUCCAGUUCUAUCUUCACAUGAGCAACUGUUUACAGUUUACAAUAUUACUCUGAAAAUCAGUUCUUUUCAAGUUUUAUCUAACACCCACCAGAAGAAACAGAAGAUUAUGAAAAUGGAAUUUGUCAAAGUUCCUCUCCCAACAAUAUGAUAUUUAAUUUUGCUAACAUUUUUUUUUGAACACUUACUAUAUUGCAGACAAUGGUCUAAGUAAAGCAUUUUAUGUGCAUCCUAUCAUGUCAUCAUCACACAGCCCUGUGAGGUAGAUACUAUUAUUAUUAACCACAUUUCACAUUCAAAAAAACUGAGGCUUAGAGAGACUAAGUAAAUUGUCCAAGGUCACACAGCCAUGAAGUGGCAGAGCUGUGGUUAAAACCUAUGUCUGUCUGAUGUUUAAGAUUUUGCUGUUAGCAUUACUUUGAAAUGACAAUAUGAGGGCAUUUUAUGUAUUUUUUUUGCCCCAAUAUGAUCUGCAGAAACUAUGUAUUUUAAGUACUACAUUUCUUUUAUUUACCAAAUUAUUGUCAGAUAAGAAACCGAAAUAAAAGUUUACAGGGUCUAGGAUUCCUCCAUAAUGAAUGAACUUUGGGGUAUUUCAGUGACAAAUUGGCUUUAACGCGAUCAAAUUCCAUCCUACAAUGAAAGUGUGUUAGUUUGUGGUUUCAAGUUUAAAAACAGCACUGUAUUGUCUUCCAGAAAUAUAUAAAUAGAAAUUCAAGAAGUAUUUCAAUGAAUACAGAUAAAAUUAGUUUUGUUAGAACAUCAAAUAUGUGGGUUUCAUUUCUUAGCUCAGUUUAGAAACUGUAAUUUCAAUUUUUUUUAGCAGCUGUGGUAAAUUUUGAGAUUUGAAAUUUCAUAUAAUAUAAAUCCUCAUUUAUUGAGCAUUUAAAUUAUAUGCCCAACAAUUUACUGUGUACAUUACUUCACUUGUUCUUAACUAUAACUCUACAAAAUAUUAUUGUCCUUGAUUUAUAGAUGAAGAUAUUGAGACUCAGUUAAGUAACUUGCUUGAAAUUCAAAAACGUUAACUGUGGAAGGCAGUAUUUGAACCCAGUGUUCAAAACCCCAUGCUCUUUUUAUUAUAUGACCUUAUUUCCUAUUCAGUCUUCAGAAGAUAUAUUGUCUUAUUAGAUUAUUCUCGUUCUCUAAAUAAGUGACCUUGGGCAACUAUCUUUUUCCCUGGUAUUUUCCCCUGCCUUUAAAACAAUGUGAUCAAACUGGAAGUUUUUCACGAUCUCUCUUAGCCCUAAAGCUCCUUGGUUCUGUAAUUCCACCAAUAGCCCAUUUCAAAAAUAAUUCUACAGUAAUCAGUGGGACUCCUGUUUUUCCCAUCUUUUUUUUUUUUGAAACAGAAAAUUGAAACUUUUAAAUUAGUUUAGUAAAUACAUCUACUAGUUUUUUUCUUUUAUAGUCAUGGUUAUAUUAUUUGGUCCUUCUUAGUUGCAACAUGUUUCCUUGCUGUCAAUUUAUAAUACCUCUCAUCAACAAUAGCCUGAAGAAAUAGAUUUGAAUUGCUUUCCCUAAUUUAUAGCUGGAAAACUAGGCUACGCUGGUAUCUUAAAUUGACUUUCCUGAGGUCACGGGCACUCAGUGCCAAGAGGAGUUGGUACCUACGCAUUUGAAAUUUCUGGAUUUCUGGUCUUACUCUGUACUUAGUCACUCUUUUCUUUCAUUUGGCCCUAUGGUGGGCAAACUACAGCCUACAGGCCAAUUCCAGCCUACCAUCUGUUUUUGUAUGGUCCAUGAACUAAGAAUGGUUAUCACAUUUUAAAAUGGUGGGAAAAAAAGACUAUUUUGUGACAUAAAAAUUAUAUGAAAUCCAAAUUUCAGUGUCUAUAAAUUUUGUUGGAAUAUAGUUACCACACUCAUUCUUUUAUGCACUGUUUUUGGCUGGUUUUCUGCCUCAACAGCAGAGUUGAGUAGGUGCAACCAAGACUGUAUGGCCUACAAAGCCUAAAAGUUUGUUAUAGAAAAGUUUGCUGACCAACUCUAUUGGUUGCUUAGUAUUGCUAGGCACUCUGCAAGUCACAGGGAACACAGCAAACUAGACACAUGACUGCCUUGGGCUUAAGAAGAGGUUUCUAAACUUUUGAAUAAAAAACAAAACAAACAACAAACAAAGUUGGAGGGACAUAAAACUUCCAAAUAUUAAUUUUGCCAGUGGGGUUUGUUUGUUUUUUUGUUUGAGAUGGAGUCUUGCUCUGUCACCCAGGCUGGAGUGCAAUGGCGCGAUCUCGGCUCACUGCAACCUCUGCUUCCUGGGUUCGAGCAAUUUUCUUGUCUCAGCUUCCAGAGUAGCUGGGAUUACAGGCACCCGCCACCACGCUUGGCUAAUUUUUUUGUAUUUUUAGCAGAGACGGGUCUGGUCUCGAACUCCCGACCUCAGGUGAUUCGCCCAGCUCCUGGGCGUGAGCCCCAGUGGGUAUUUCUUAAAAACACAGCUACUAUUUUCACUCAUCAUUUUAUUUAAAAAAGGAGUAUGUUAAUACAAAAAAGUAUAUUAAUGCCAAAUUUGUAGGAAGAACAUAAUCUCAAAAAGCA
rnacentral:lncRNA from 1 species